CACGGGGGGAGCAAGCGUUGUUCGGAAUCACUGGGCGUAAAGGGCGUGCAGGCGGUCAGGUAAGUGGGAUGUGAAAUGCCCCGGCUCACCCGGGGACCGGCAUCUCAUACUGCUUGGCUUGAGUACGGGAGAGGAUGUGGGAAUUCCUGGUGUAGCGGUGAAAUGCGUAGAUAUCAGGAGGAACACCGGUGGCGAAGGUGCACAUCUGGCCCGAUACUGACGCUGAGGCGCGAAAGCUAGGGGAGCAAACGGG
rnacentral:rRNA from 1 species